GAAAAAAACAUAAAUGACAUUGUUUGAAAAUUCGUAAGUGUGAUAAUAUUAUGAUAUAAAAUUGAAGUUAUAUGCGGUAGGUCUGUAAGUAUAAUAUCAUAUUCUUAAAUUAAAGGUCAUGGUGAUAAAGAAAAAUACAACUAUUGGAAUCCAGGACAAUAACUAAAUAGUAACUAUAAAAUAUUUUAGCAAAAUAUAUAUUCCAUAUUUCUUGUUGCUAGUGUAAGAACUCACUCUUUCAUGCUUGGUGUAAUUGUAAUAUCUUGAGUAUGAAACUCAUGCUAUCAUAGAUGUAAAUGAGUGUACAAGAAGUAUUUAUAGGAAAUAUGCAGAUUACAGUUAGCCUAAUUACAAGCUAAAACGAACGUGCUUAAGUAAGCUAACUAGUUAACUUGUAUCUCAAGUAAACUAGGAGCCUUUACUUUAUUAUGACCUUCUUUCUCUAAUAUCCCCUCACAAGCUGGUGAAUGGUAAAUAUCUAACAUUCCAAGCUUGAAUAAAAGAAUGUUGAAUGGUUGAGGAAGAAGAGGUUUAGUACAGAAGUCUGCAAGUUGGCCAUAUGAAGAGACAGGAAGAAGCUUCAUGAUGUCUGCUUGUAGCUUUUCUCUAACCAAGUGACAAUCAAUCUCAAGGUGCUUGGUUCUUUCAUGAAAUACUCGGUUGGCUGCAAUGUGCAAAGCACUUUGGUUAUCACAGUAAAGCACUUUGGCUGCAAUACUGGGUUUCCUUAAGAAGAUAAAGAAGACAUUGAAAUUCACAAGUAGCUUCGCCUAAAGCACGAUAUUCAACUUCUGAAGAAGAUCUGGAGACAGUCAACUGUUUCUUAGUCCUCCAAGAGAUCAGUGAUGGGCCAAGAAAGAAGCAUUGGCCUGAGAUGGAUCUUCUUGAAUCCAAACAACCAGCCCAGUCUGCAUCUGAGUAUCCUGAUAAAUGUAAAGAUGAAUCUCUAGGGAACAUCAAACCCUGCGCAGGACAUUUCUUCAGGUACCUUAAGAUUCUAGUGGCAGCAGUGAAAUGUUGUUCAGUGGGAGAAGUGAGAAACUGGCUCAAUUGUUGAGUAGCAAAAGUGAUGUAUGGCCUUGUAUUAGUGAGAUAUAUGAGCCUGCCAAUCAAUCUUCUAUAGGAGGGCACAUCAUCAUAAGGAGCACUAGAAUCAUUGUGUAGUUUGCAUGAUGGAUCAGAAGGAACGGAGACUGGUUUGUAAGCAAGAUAGCCAGUAUGUGAUAACUGCUAGAAAGUGUUAAAUCCAUGAUGUAUUUUAAGCACUUUUUGUUACUUGUUUCACAAGUUAUUUGAGGAAAAGCCAUGAAAAAGUAAGAAAAUGCCUUAUUAGGCUUUUUAUAUCUUACUUAACCCAUUUGUGCAGAAAAGAAGUGAUCAAGACUUGAACAAAUGAAAGAAACACAAAAAGGAGCAAAAACCAGCAAUUUGUCGCCAUGGCCAGAACCUGUCGCCAGGGCCACAUCCUGUCGCCAUAGCGGGAAACGGGAAAUGACAAAACAUAACCUAUUUCUUUGUGCCUAAAUGUCGUUGUCGCGAAAAAUGUUCUGCCUGGCAAGAAAAGGCGGUUUGGGUUAAGUGAUGAUGUGGCAGAAACCCACUGGCAAAGAAAGUUGAUGUCGUCGUGGCGACAAAUGUCCUGCUGGGCCAGAAUGUCAAAUUGUGCAUAAAGUAUAAAAACCCAUUUCAUUCAUUUCAGACAUGAUCUUUUUACAUUUAUAGAGGGAGAAUAGGGUGAAAUUCUUAUGUUUUCAUAGAGAAAGGAUGUUUGAGUGUGGAUUCGUCAAGAUUCUUGGAGAAAUCAAGUUCUUGGCAUGGAUCUUCAAAUUUCUUUCCACUUUUGUAAUGUUCUCAUGACAGUGAUGAACAAAAUCUCCUUUGUUGGGAUUAGAGGUACUUGAUUAAGUUGAUAAUGUAAACUUUUGAUCUUUCAAUAUAUGAUUCUAGCAAUUUACAUGAUAUUGAAGUUAUUCUUGCAAUUCAUUUCCUAUCUUUGAUUUAAUUGUUAUUGAAAAGUAAUUUUGAAUCUAUGUUUAGAAUAUUCAUCUAUCAAAACAAUGGAUUGUUUAAUAGUUAGGGGAAUCAACGAUUGAACAAUACAAUUGAUUUCACAAGAUUAUUUGGACACGAAUAGUCUUGUUGAACGAUACGUGAUAAUAUCGGUAAAACGCUAGAAUCCAUAUAUGUGAUUAUUAUGUUAUGUUUGACGCUUAACCAAGGAACUCUAAUUCCAACGUUUUUACGCCUUAUUACUCUCUGUUUUUAUCUUCGCAAUUUAGUUUCCAUCGUUUUAAACAAACAACCAAUCAAACUAUAGCCUAGAGUAUCACAGAAGUCCUUGUGGAGACGAUAACAAAAAUACUUACUUUUGAUACUACAUCAGUAUCUAUAAGUAAAUCAAUGCAAUAUUUUCUCUGACAUAGAGAUAUGCCUUGAGAAGAAUCAGAAACCUCUAAACCAAGAAAAUACUUCAAUUAACCAAGAUAAUAAAUCACCAGCAAUUAUCACAUCAUCUACAUAAACAAGUAAUGAUGUGAAAGAAGUAGCAGUCUUUUUGGUGAAUAAGGAAUGAUCACUGAUAGACUGUGUAUAGUUGUGAUGUAGAAGUAGAGAGGUGAGCUUCUCAUACCACUUUCUACUUGCUUGUUUCAAUCCAUACAGUGAUUUUACUAGUUUGCAAACCUGAUUUGGUUUGCAAGUAGUGAUACCUUGAGGAACAAUCAUGUAAACAUCUUCCUGCAAAUCUCCAUCUAAAAAUUCAUUAUUAACAUCCAGCUGAUGAAUGUGCCAAUGAUUGAUGGAUUCCAAAGCAAUAACAGUUCUGACAGUUGUAAAUUUGGCAACUUGAGAGUAAGUAUCAAAGUAAUCCAAUCCUUCAAUUUGAUUAUAACCUUUGGCAACCAAUCUAGCUUUGUAUCUCUCUACUGAGCCUUCUGCAUGAUAUUUGAUUUUGAAAAUCCAUUUACAACCAAUAGGCUUGACAUUUGGUAUUAAAUCAACUAGUUUCCAUGUCCCAGUAUUUUCAAGAGCAAUGAUCUAAGCUUGCAUAACCUGAUUCCAACAACUGAAUUUGCUUGCCUCAGCAUAUGUAGUGGGCUCAGUCUGGGAGUCAAGAGACAAAGAAUAAGCAAAAUGAGAAGGUGACAAAUUGGUAAAAGAAAUGUAAUAAUGAAUAGGAUAUUAGACAUCAGAAGAAAGAGAAGCAGAAGCAAUAGUGAAAUUACAAACACAAUCUUGUAAGUGUGUAGGUGGGUUAGUAUUCCUGGACGACCUUCUCAAUGGAGGUGGAUCAAUAGGUGAUGUGGUGGGUGAAGGGGAGUGAUUAAUAUCAAUAGGAGGUGAGUCAGUAUCGAUAAAAGGAGGUGGAAAUGGAGGUGAAGGAAGAAUAGUAGGGUUGCUUGUUGAACAAGCAUCAGAAGGAAAAUAAUUCUAAUCAGUAGUAAUUGAUGAUGAGGAUGGAGGAUAAGGCGGUAUAUGCUCAUGAAAACUGACAUGUGUAGAGAUAUGAAUUUCUAUAGUGUGGAUAUCUAACAAAACAAAACCUUUGAAACCAAUGAAGUAUCCUAGAAACACAAACUUUCUGGCUCUAGCAGCUAGUUUGGUUAUAUGGGAAUGAAGGGAAGUGGAGAAGCACAAGGAACCAAAAACUUUAAAUGAAUCAAUGUCAGGAAAUUUAUCAUGAAGAAGUUUGUAAGGUGAUUUGUUAUGAAGUGUAGGGGAAGUAACCCUGUUGAUGAUAAAAGUGGCAUGUAGGAGAGCAUAAGACCAAUAAGAUGCAGGAAGUUUAGAUUGAUAUAGAAGGGCUCUGCCUACAUUAAGGAUAUGUUGGUACUUUCUCUUAACCCUAACAUGUUGUUGAGGGGUCUCAACACAAGACUUAUGAUGAAAAAUACCCUUAGAAGCAUAAAAUGAAUUGAGCAAAAACUCAGGACCAUUAUCACUUCUGACAAUUUUAGGAGUAAUAUGAUAUUGGUUUUCUAUAAGAGUGAUGAAGUUUUUAACAUGUUGUGAAACUUUAGACUUAUUUUUAAGUAAAACAAUCCAGACAAAUAUACUAUAAUCAUCAAGUAUAGUGAGAAAAUAUCUAUGAUUAUGGACAAAAGUAAUGGACAAAGGGCCCCAAAUAUAAAAAUGCAAUAGUUCAAACUUGCUACAAGCAACAUACAAACUAUUUGUAAAAGGUAACUUCUUUUGUCUAACAAAAUGGCAUAUAUCACAAGUGGCUUGAUGAUCAAAAGAUAAUGAAGGAUAAAGUUUGGACAUAUGAGAGAGUCUCUUAUGAGAAACAUGCCAUAACUUAAAGUGCCAUAAAGUAGAAGAAGGAAUGGUCAUGUUUUUAUUGGUGGAAACAUGAUAAAUAAAAGAAUUAUUGUGUAAAGGAAAAGCAGAAAAAUCUAAAACAAGUCUAUAGAGACCUUCAAACUGUUCACCCAAACCAAUCAUCUUAUGGGAGUCAAGAUCCUGUAACAAACACUUGUUGUCAUGAAAGGUGACAAAGCAUUGUAAAGAAUCACAUAGUUUAGAAAUGGAAAUUAAGUUGAAGUUGAAUGAAGGUGAAUAUAGAACAUUGUCAAGGUAAAAAUGAGGUGUAAAGUGUAUGGUGCCAACAUAUUCAGCUAAAAUAGAUGAACCAUUAGGUAAAUUGAUAGGUUUAGGUGAAAUUUUGUGAAAGGAGUUGAACCAAUUUGAAGAAGAAACAAUCUGUUCAUUUGCACCAGAAUCUAACAAUCAUAUAUCAGAUUUUGAAGAUAUGGAACAAGUAAAUAUGGAAGAAGAUAUACCUGAUUGUAUAGUGGAGAUAGAAUUAGAAGCAGGGGAAGUAUGAACAUGAUUGACACUAGUUUGAGGUGAAGCUACAGAUGAAGCAUGAAGCAAAUUCACUUGUUGUAACAGGCUAAGAAUUCGAUCAUACUUCUCUUGAGAAAUAUUAGAACUAGAGGAUGAAGAAGCAUCAUUGCAACUUCUUGAUUGAGCCUCAAUUUCUUCAAAGCUACUUAAGGCAUUCACAGAAGAAUUAUGCUUAUGAAAGUUUGGAUUUGGAUGUCCAUGCUUUUGAUCACAAUAUUCAAUAGUGUGAUUGUUCUUUCCACAAAAUGAACAAUGUCUAGGAGGCUUGGAUCCACUAAAGUAUCCUCUUCCUCUUCCUUGUGGCUUGCGUGAAUCAACAACAUUGAUAAUGGAUGAAGGUUCACCAAUGGAGGAAGAAAGUGAAUGAUUGUUACUUUCCUCUUGGAUAACCACAAAAUAUACUUUGUUGAUAGAAGGAAGUGGAUCAAUCAUCAGUACUUGAGUUUUGAUAACUUUGAAUUGAUCAUUCAAACUAGUCAAAAACUAGAUUACUUGAUCUUUAAGUCUGCAAUUAUGUGCCUCUCUCAUAGCUGCACAACAACAGGGAUGAGGAUAAGUGCAAGGUGGCAUUGGACGGUGUGAAUUCAACUCUUCCCAAAGAGUUUUCAUUUCAGUAAAGUAAUCCAAAACUAACUUAGAACCUUGCUUCAAAUUGUUGAUCUUAGAACGAAGCGUAGCAAUACGAAUGUGAUCUACCUUGGAAAAACGUUCUUUUAGAUCUAACCAAGCAUCAAUGGUGUUUUCAUGGAAAACCAGAGUUUGUUCAAUUUGAGGAGUAACUGAAUUGAUAAUCCAUGACUGAAUUAGGUGAUUGCAAUGUUCCCAGGCACUGCGAUUGAAAUCUUCCUCAUCUGGAAGUUCCAUGGAUCCAUCGACAAACUUCAAUUUGUUCUUCGCACCAAAAGCGAGAAUCAUGGAACGACUCCAUGCGAGGUAGUUAGAACCAUCCAAGAGUUAAGUGACAAUAACUUAAUUCGGUCCUUCAAUUGAUUGCACGUAAAAAAAUUAUUCAGUGCCAGGUUGAUUCUGACGAGGCAUGAUGAACAAAGAAGCAAAUGACGAAGAAGAGAAGAAAAACUUGCUGCAAAACGCAAGAACAACAAGAGAUUCACAAAGGAAGAAGAAAUUCGUGAGGAAUCAAUGGAGAAAUGUGAAGUUUUCAGCAAAAAACGAAGAAGGUGAAGAAAAGGAUCUUAACUUUUGUAAUAAACUUCCACCAUGGAAAUGAGAGAAAAAAGCUCCGAUACCAUGUUAUGGGAAGCAAAUAAUGAAAUGAAUCUCAUUUCUCAUAGAUGUAAAUGAGUGUUUCUCAUAGAUGUAAAUGAGUGUACAAGAAGUAUUUGUAGGCAAUAUGCAUAUUACAAUUAGCCUAAUUACAAGCUAAAAUGAACAUGCUUAAGUAAGCUAAACUAGUUAACUUGUGUAUCAAGUAAACUAGGAGCCUUUACUUUAUUAUGACCUUCUUUAUAUAAUACUAUAUGAUACACAUUUGCGAUUACGGCACUUAUACAAUAUAAGCCGAGUUCUUGGUGGGCAAUCAUUAUUAGUUAUACAAACAACAUAUCCUGCAGUGAAAGAAUAUAAUAAACAAAUGUUAUAAAAAUGAAAUAAAGAUUAUAUAUGAACUACAAACUAAAGAAUGAAAUUUUAAAAGGAUGGAAAAAAACAUUACCCUUAACAUUAUUUGCAAGAAAAAAUAGGAAGAUAAAUAAAAUUAUAGCAUACACAAACAUAUGAGUCAUAUCUUUGUCUCUAUACAUACAACAAAUAUAAUUUAUUUGAUCACUUUAUAGUGUAUAAUCUUUACAUUCAACAAAUACAAUUUAAUUGAUUACUUUAUAGGGUAUAAACCUCACGCUGUGUUGAGAAAAAUAUAAUUAUUUUUACCUCUUAAGAACUUUUAAAAGUCUCUCCCUAAAUUUAGAAUUAUUAUUAAGUGUCUCUUAAGAAGAUGAAUGUGUAAUAUUAUUCAUUUACCACACUUAAUAAAGGCAUAAAAUAAAAAACUUGCUAAUCAUUACAAUUUAAUAUUUUGGUAGUUAACCUUAUUACUUUUGAUGAUUGAAAGGGGAACUUUAAAAAAUAAUAAUGCAUAAA
rnacentral:lncRNA from 1 species